rnacentral:rRNA from 1 species
UGAAGAGUUUGAUCAUGGCUCAGAUUGAACGCUGGCGGCAGGCCUAACACAUGCAAGUCGAACGGUAACAGGAAGCAGCUUGCUGCUUUGCUGACGAGUGGCGGACGGGUGAGUAAUGUCUGGGAAACUGCCUGAUGGAGGGGGAUAACUACUGGAAACGGUGGCUAAUACCGCAUAACGUCGCAAGACCAAAGAGGGGGACCUUCGGGCCUCUUGCCAUCAGAUGUGCCCAGAUGGGAUUAGCUUGUUGGUGAGGUAACGGCUCACCAAGGCGACGAUCCCUAGCUGGUCUGAGAGGAUGACCAGCCACACUGGAACUGAGACACGGUCCAGACUCCUACGGGAGGCAGCAGUGGGGAAUAUUGCACAAUGGGCGCAAGCCUGAUGCAGCCAUGCCGCGUGUAUGAAGAAGGCCUUCGGGUUGUAAAGUACUUUCAGCGGGGAGGAAGGUGUUGUGGUUAAUAACCGCAGCAAUUGACGUUACCCGCAGAAGAAGCACCGGCUAACUCCGUGCCAGCAGCCGCGGUAAUACGGAGGGUGCAAGCGUUAAUCGGAAUUACUGGGCGUAAAGCGCACGCAGGCGGUCUGUCAAGUCGGAUGUGAAAUCCCCGGGCUCAACCUGGGAACUGCAUUCGAAACUGGCAGGCUUGAGUCUUGUAGAGGGGGGUAGAAUUCCAGGUGUAGCGGUGAAAUGCGUAGAGAUCUGGAGGAAUACCGGUGGCGAAGGCGGCCCCCUGGACAAAGACUGACGCUCAGGUGCGAAAGCGUGGGGAGCAAACAGGAUUAGAUACCCUGGUAGUCCACGCCGUAAACGAUGUCUACUUGGAGGUUGUGCCCUUGAGGCGUGGCUUCCGGAGCUAACGCGUUAAGUAGACCGCCUGGGGAGUACGGCCGCAAGGUUAAAACUCAAAUGAAUUGACGGGGGCCCGCACAAGCGGUGGAGCAUGUGGUUUAAUUCGAUGCAACGCGAAGAACCUUACCUGGUCUUGACAUCCACAGAACUUUCCAGAGAUGGAUUGGUGCCUUCGGGAACUGUGAGACAGGUGCUGCAUGGCUGUCGUCAGCUCGUGUUGUGAAAUGUUGGGUUAAGUCCCGCAACGAGCGCAACCCUUAUCCUUUGUUGCCAGCGGUCCGGCCGGGAACUCAAAGGAGACUGCCAGUGAUAAACUGGAGGAAGGUGGGGAUGACGUCAAGUCAUCAUGGCCCUUACGACCAGGGCUACACACGUGCUACAAUGGCGCAUACAAAGAGAAGCGACCUCGCGAGAGCAAGCGGACCUCAUAAAGUGCGUCGUAGUCCGGAUUGGAGUCUGCAACUCGACUCCAUGAAGUCGGAAUCGCUAGUAAUCGUGGAUCAGAAUGCCACGGUGAAUACGUUCCCGGGCCUUGUACACACCGCCCGUCACACCAUGGGAGUGGGUUGCAAAAGAAGUAGGUAGCUUAACCUUCGGGAGGGCGCUUACCACUUUGUGAUUCAUGACUGGGGUGAAGUCGUAACAAGGUAACCGUAGGGGAACCUGCGGUUGGAUCA